GCUUAUUGAAAACUUUUUAAUUACUUGUAAUUUUCAAUCAUCUCUUCUUCUCUUUUAUGAUUCAAUUUAAAAUGAUACGCACAUGUAUGUGACGUAAUCAACCAAAAAAAAAAAAAAAAAAAUACUUGUCAACAUAGUUUAUUAAUUAGUAAACAGAUUGCGUUUGAAAUUGUAAUUGAUUAUCAAAGGGAAAGGAUUUAUUUACUAUACAUGGAUGAGUGAUUUUAAUAAAAUUAAUUAACGUCAACUCAAAGCUACUCUCACUGUUAUUCUCUCUCUCUCUCUCUCUCUCUCUCGUUCUCUCUCUCUCUCUCUCUCUCUCUCUCUCUCUCUUUCUCUCUGCACUACUCUGAGGCAUAAUCAAUAAAAGUCUUAUUUACUCUCAAGGUCAUAUCAAUCAUUUCAUUUUAAUUAAGAUUUUUUUUCAAUUUCCGAUUCGAUAAAUUCGCUGAUUUAAUUUUAAUUUCAAUUUAAAAUUUUUUUUAAUGUUUUCUUACUAUUGUCAAGUGAAGUUAGCCUAACGUAUCUACAGGAUGUUUUUAUGUUUGCUAAAACUUGGGCUGGUUUCAUGGUUGGUUCGGGUUUUUGCUAAGGUGAGUGCUCGCUCAGUCGGUGCAGGCAAAAUACUUAUCGAUUGAGCAAUGCACCUUCUAAGUUGCAGCCACCUCCCUACCUUUUUCCCUUUCUUCACGAAUAGGAGAAACAUACGCUGAAAACAAAAAUCGUAACCUCACAAAAUCCUAUUGGAUGUUCACUCUAGUGAGAUUUUUACAAUGGGAACUUGGUUUAGAGCUACACGGUAAUUCUAUUAGCUCCGUUGGGUUUCCUUCUUUUCUUUUUCAGUAAAUAAAUUGCUACCACUUGAUCAGAAUGUAAUUAAUUUCUUCAGAAUGGCGAGAAAUGAAGAUCACAUCUCUAGAACCAUAUCUCGGAUCUCCAAGUCCCCCCUUUCCUGGCAUUGUUACGAGUUAAACACAUUGGCUAUAUAGCACCAUAUAAUUAGCUGGGCAUUUUUAAAAACCUUUUGCAAGGCCCUAAACCGUCGCCAGCACAUGAUGUUAGGCCUAGCGCCUAGAUAACAAACGCAACAGCAUAGUCAACUUCGACUAACCCUACAGUAAACUAUACUUUGAUCUCGGUCGUCAUAUAGCCGCAGAUAGAGUGAAUUUUUUGCUUUUAAUAUGAUCAAUCAAUCAGAGGAUGUCCGCUGUUCACUGUGGGGAAAGAGAUACUCACUGCAGCUACAGACAGCACUUAUUAUAGCUUUGACCACGAACCUGUCGUAAUUAAAAGGUUAUCUCUAUCUACGAUCUGUAAAAUUGAAUCCGUACUAUUCGGCUUGACAGUCGCCCUUCAUUAAUCUGUGUAAAGUUAUAUUUAAACAUAAUUAGCGCAGACAUGAACCAUUUGUUAUAUGUUGAAAGAGUUCUGUUAAAAGAAGACUGGAAAGGUUUUAAAUCGAAAUGUAGUUAAAAUAGAACUUAACGAGAAUUUUUUUAAAAACUAUUAUAAUGAAAACGUGACCUUGUGCUCUUUUCAUACUCCCGUAAAGAAAUUCUCCGAGCAAAAUUGAAUAUAAGCUGCACAAAAUUAGAAAGGCUAUUAAUAGCAACUUCAAGCUGUGCUAGUUUCCUUUUUUUCGCAAACCAUGGCUUAGCCACAGUAGCUAAGCAAACUUUCUCUUUUUCAUCUCCAUUUUUGGCACAGUACAAAAGCUUUUUCAUAUCAAGUUUUAAUUGACAUUGAUAAUAUGAAGACAUAUUUUAUUUAUAAUAAUUUUUAAAAAAUUCUCGGAAGGCUGCAUUUUAACUAUAUUUUGAAUUCAGUCCUUCUGAGACUUGGUUUAGCAGAAUUUCGUAUAAAAGAAAAGGGUUUGUGUCGUUGCUAUUUACAUUUAAAUUUAGCUUCAUACCCUUAUUUUUUAAUUACUACGACUACGUGGUUGCCAUGCGUACGAAUAGCUACGACCAUAAAUGGUUAAACCGCACUUAGAUUUGCACUUACGAACACUGACUUGGUCGUCGCAACUCACCUAAGCAGUAGCUCAAUAUAUAGUGAUUGGCCGAUCAGCAAAGAUAUAACACUUAUCCUCCAAAGUUGGGACUUCAGUCUACUCUCCUUCUUUACUUCUGUCUCUCUUACCUUUACCAUGUGCAUGUAUAUGUACUUGUAUGAUGUAUAGGAGACAUUCCCUGAGAGAUUGGUGAUAAAAAAAAAUAAAAAUUAAUUGCUAGGACUUCAUAAGUGUUUUUCGUUCAAAAAAAAAAGUCGGAUAAUUUGCAAAAGUGAUUAAAGAUAGGGUUCUCCGAUGAAAUGAUGGAUUUUUAAAGAUUUGAAGAAUGAAUAGAAAGCUGCGCCAAAUUUCACAAACAGAUUGCAUUUAAGUCUAUCUAGGGUAAUGCUUCUUUAUUUGUGUGAUAAGUAUAAGCACAAAUCUCUGCCACUGGGUAAAGAAUUGAAUUUUCCAGUUGAAAAUAUGUAUAAAGGAAAAAAUAACUUGAAAUUUGUUUUUCGCUGAUUUAACGAUAAACUCUUAACUGCACUGUCAAUAGCGCAUAAAAAAAAAGCAAAAAUAAAAAACUUGCAUAACUCUCAUACGUAAAACUGAGAAAACAAACAUCCAUCAUUGAUAAGAAUCAAUCUAAACCUGAGACCGAAAAAAAAGCGUAAAGAAUCAUAAAAACGAGGAGAGAACAAAAACAGAAACAAAAAAAAAGAAGAAGAAGGAGAAGAAAUAAAAGACAGCAUAAAAAUGUGCAGAAAACAUUCUCUAGCAAUUUGGUUAUUUUGUUUGACAUUUUUUGGUCUACAACAUCAAGACAAUCAAGUCAAACAUACUGAAGCCAGCAAACAAUACAUAACAGCAAACAAAGCAUUUUCAACUAAAAUUCCAAAAAUAACAACAACAACAACACCAACAGCAGCAACAAUAAGAAGAACUAGUAGUAGUAUCGCUAGCACAGCAGCAUCAAUUGGGACAACUAAACAAGUUAUUGGAGAUGUUUUGCAAAUAGAAAAUGAAGAAUAUGUUGAGUUAGCAGAAGACACAAUAAUACAAUCGGAGAGUAUUCCUGAUUUAAACGACAAUGAAUAUGAUAACGAUAAUAAUGAUCAUCAUGAUACUAACGCUUUAACCAUAUACCAUUUACGAAAUCAAAUGAAUGAUGUACAAAAGAGAAACGCUAUAAAAAGAAAAUAUUUACUACAAGAGCUAUUGAGGCAACAUGAGCAGACAUUUAAAGAGACACAGCAAAUUUAUAACGAUACCGGUGGUGGUAGCGAUACUGAUGAUGAUGAUGAUGAUGAUGAUGAUGAUGAUGAUGAUAACGAUGAUAGUGAUGAUGAUGGUGCGAGUGCUGGUAAUGAAGGGAAAUCUAUAUUAUUACCCAUCAAUAGCAAGUCAUUGUUAAAAUACAGUAAACAUAAGAAAAAUGUUGGCGACACAUUGGCUUUUGAUUUUAAACAAAACGUGCACCGUCUAUUCAACAAUACUAAAAGUAAUGACAAUCGUAGUCAUAAAGAACUGCACGUCAACAACACUUUAGCAUCAUUGUUACCAGUUACGAUUAUAGGAGGUAAAGAACGGGCGUUUACGGCGCCCAUUGCUACUACUACUACUGCUACAACUACGGCAGCAAGAAGUGCUAGCACUUAUAGUCAUAGUGCCUCUAAACCAACGACGACGUCAUCAUCAUCUACUACAUCUUCAUUUAAUUCAACUGAUUGGCUGCAUAUUUUUAAGCAUUCCACUCCUUUGGGUCGACGUCAUAUCGUGCCAGAAAAAUUGCAAUAUACUAAAGAGAUUACGAUUAAACAAGGACGACUUAUAGGUAUCAGACGUACAUUUCACGGCAGCACCGGUCUACGUGAUGUGGAUCAAUAUCUAGGUUUACCGUACGCUGAGUCACCAAUAGGCAGUCGCCGUUUCAUGCCGCCAGGCGCUCCUUUGCCCUGGCAAGGCUUGAAAAUGGCUCACCACUUACCAUCUGCGUGUCCGCAGAAAUUGCCUGAUAUCACUGCAGCGAUGUCAAGUGGUAGUGCAGCAGCUGCUAAACUAUCCAAAGGCCGUUACAAAUACUGGACACGUUUGUUGCCUUAUCUAAAAACAGAAAAUGAGGAUUGUUUGUAUUUGAAUGUUUAUGUGCCGAGUGAGAAUGACGUUACAGCGGCAUUGUUUCAACGUAAAUUUCUCUAUCCGGUUAUUGUAUACAUUCACGGCGAGUCAUUCGACUGGAAUAGUGGUAAUGCCUACGAUGGUUCGGUAUUGGCAAGCUAUGGUGAAAUUAUUGUUGUUACAGUAAAUUAUCGUUUGGGUAUAUUAGGUUUUAUGAGGCCUAGCAUUAAUGAGAAUACCGUAGCCAACUUUGGUUUAUUAGAUCAAAUUGCUGCAUUACAUUGGAUCAAAGAGAAUAUCGGUUAUUUUGGUGGCGACAAGGAUAGCGUCACUUUAAUGGGUCACACAACGGGGGCAGCAUGUGUUAAUUACCUGAUGAUAUCACCAGUUGCCUCGGGCCUUUUUCAUCGUGCCAUAUUAAUGUCGGGUUCCGCUAUGUCUGAUUGGGCAGCCAGCAAUUAUUCGCUACAGCUAACAAUGCAAAUUGCUCAUGGCCUUAAUUGUCCUUUAAAUGAUGACAAUGAAGAGAUGCUGACUUGUUUACGUCAGAAACGGUAUCAGGAUAUCUUAAAGAUACCGACAUCACUAUCACAAUUUUCAACAUCGUUGGGUCCCAUUGUUGAUGGCCAUGUUAUACCCGAUCAACCGUAUAAAGUAAUGGGACAAUAUACAGAACAUUUUAGUCGGUAUGAUUUAUUAUUUGGUAUCACCGAAUCGGAAUCAUAUCAUUCGUUAGGUGUUGCAAUUUUAGAGGAGGGAUUACGUGAAAAUGAACGCGAUAAUUUAUUGCGUUUCUAUAUGCAAAGUCGCUUUGAUAUACGUCCCGAUUUGGCGUUGGCGGCCACAUUAAAAAAGUACAGUGAUAUGUAUACAAAUCCUAUUAAGGCCAGCAAAUUGGAACAUCGUGAUGUUGUACUUGAUAUAUUAUCUGAUGCUCGUGUGGUGGGACCAUUAAUGCAAACCGGUUUAUUUCACGCUGAAGUGAAUCGACGCAAUUAUAUGUAUGUAUUCGGCCAUAAUAGCUUCGGUGGACCGCAUGCCAGUUUACCUCACAGCAUAGCGGGUGAAGAACUACCUUUCGUGUUCGGAGCACCGCUAGCCGCUGUAGGGCCAUUUCAUGGCAUACACUAUACAUCACAAGAGAAACUAUUGGCUGAAGCGGUUAUGUCAUAUUGGUGUAAUUUUGUUAAGACUGGAAAUCCUAAAGCACCUUGGAAGGGCACAUUUAUUAAUUUGCAUGCUUUAGAAUGGGAUCGUUACGAUUUAGAUUGGCCCGAAUUUAAUAAACGCGCGCAAGCAUACAUGAACAUUGGAAUACCGCCAUCGGUAGGCUAUAAAUAUCGACAAAUUUAUAUGAACUUCUGGAAUAAAGAAUUACCCGACGAACUUAAUCAAAUCGCAGUUAUUCAGCAGCAACCGUACUUCCUUGACACUCGAUUCCAAAAUACACAAAUACCACAAGUAGACAGCAGUAACAACAACAACAACGUCAACAAUAACAGAAACAAUAAUAAUAAUGAUGAUGCUGCCGAUAAGGAUGACGAUGGAAAAAUAUAUCCGAAACGUUAUAGCAGUGAAGUAAUUAUGGGCCAUAUGAAUAAAUUCGGUACACGUGCUGAUGGUGCUGAUGAUCCAGUGCGUACAUUAAAAUUGCUAUUACAAGAACCAUAUGUAAAUGGCAAAACCGAAGGUAUUGUUGUUGGUGGUAAUGCUAAUGAUGUUGGUAGAGGUAGUGAAACAGCCGAGAAUAUGUACAAUGCAUCGCCAAUGCAGCAGGGCGUUCAUCAUCAAGCACAGAGCAAAGAAGAUAAACAAUUGUAUUAUGGUAAUACGGUACACACCAUAAUCACCAACACAAACUUGGCUGACAAACCGGAUGAUGGUAAAAUAAUUUAUGGUAUUCAACAUUCUAGUGGCACAACAGUGGCAACAACAUUAACUGCAACCACUAACAAUAUCCAGCAAAAUAUUAAUAAACUUAAAAACUAUAAUAACGUUAAGGUAAAUGAGAAUGAAAGAGAGAGCAAAUAUAAAUCAAGCGAAGAGCAGGAUGAUGAAAAAGAGCAACAAGAACAAGUAUUGAAAUCAGAAACUACUCUGCAUUUAUUGAUUGGCUUAAUUGUUAUAUUCAUCGUAUUAAAUGUCAUCAUCUAUUCUACGUAUUUAUUGCAGAAGAAAAAGAAAACGAAAACCAUGCAACGUAAGCUAGGUACUAUACUUACUUAUGAUGGAACUACUGAUGACGAAUUGAAACGUUCUAAGCAAACCACCCAGCAUGACGGCGAUGAUAGUUACGUAAUGGAUAUGGUAAGAAAAUCGAAUGCUUAUGAAGCGGUAAAAACGGAACGUUCGCCUCUUAAUGGUUAUAAGAUAACGAGACAACUAAGUUGCUCCACGGUGGAUACGCACACUAAGGUAUGCGAAUGGAUGGAAAGUAAGCUACAAGCAGGUAGCAGUUUACCGAGAAGGCCAAGCAGUCCUAAAAGUUCGAAGAAAUCAUCGUCGUUUUCAUCACUAGCGGGUAGCGGCAGCAGUUUUGGCAAACAUCCGCACAAGGUAAGUGUGGCGGUUGACGCGACUUCUCAAGGACGUGGUAGCAGUGUUUUGCAGCAAGAGCCUAUAGAAAUAACUAAGUUCAAAGCUGACGGCCGAAAUAUUAUUAUAUGCCAAGAGGUAGAAGUAGAAGAUCAGGAAUUACUCACUCCUCAAGAAUCGUUGGAUAACAGCCGAUUUUCUUUAAUUAGACAACACUCAGCUAAUACCGAAUGUUGUAACGCAGAACUUUUACAACCUAUGCAUAAACAUUCUCAAUCGGAUCCAGUGGAGGUGUACUAUAGCUUGGGUGAAACGAUAGAUAAUGAACAAGAAGAUCAGGAGAAAAUCACUAGUUUCAUAACAUCAGAGGCCAUCUAUGACAACGAGGACACUGCGAUGAAAGAUAUAAAUGUAACAAGUCGCGAUUCGGAGAUAAUAGAGGACGAAACUCCUUUGACAGUGGAACAACAGUUAUCCGUAAUAAAAAGGCGUAAAUACCCUAAAGUUUUGCCUCCUUUACUAAUAGGAGAAAAUUAUCGUGAUUCACCGCCUAUGACCCAAGAUUUAAGUGUCACUUAUAAACGUAAUUCAUUGCCACCGAAUAAUUUCCUUUAUCAGCUUCAUCAUCUCAGCAAGCAGCCACCUUUACCGCCACCUCGUACAGUUGCCACGCUAGGACGUAAAACUUCCCUUAAACGGCGUAAUAGUAAUAUUGUUAGUAACUCACCGUUGAUGUUAGCUCAAGAUUGCACCGAAGAAGAGGAAGAACCAGAAAUUACUAAAAAUACAUUGAUUGUUGGUUCGUUGGUACCAAAGAGUAGCAAAAGCAGCGAAGGCUAUUAUACAACAUUAAGAAAAAAAACUCAGGAAACUGCACCUAAUGAAACUUUAAAUAAAACUUUAACGGCGCAUAAUGCUUUCCAACAACAACAACAGCAACACCAACAAAGUAUGCCAACAACGGCAUUUCAAUCUUUCGAAAGUUUUCCUGCUGAAACACCGGAAAGAGAUAUGCCAGCAUAUCUUACCGAACGCGUGUAUAGCAUAGAAGCAGUGUCAGCCAACAUUACCACAACGCCAUUAUAUCAGCAUCAACAACAUCGUCCUUCAUGUUAUGCUUCGGCACCAACAACACCUAAUGCUUUGCCAGUCAAUUCGCCACUAAUGUCAUAUCCAACUUUACCGAACGGAAGUUUACAUGCACUUUACUCUCAAUCUAAGAAAUCCCACAUACCACGUAUUGUAGCCGCCGGCAGUAGCAGCUGUCAUAACACUAACAUGAACACGAAAACCACAACUACUACAACUAAUGCAAUGCAUUCCAUUUUAACGCCUUCGCAAACGACUUCUGCACAUCCGUCUAACUGCCCUGAGUCGAUAUCACAGCAAGUGUCUGCGACAUUAUUGACUUCUUUAGCUAAGCCAUCAUCACCGUUAGUCUCAUCAAAAGCUUCAACGUUAUCAUCAACCGAUGUAGAAAUGCCCGGGGAAGUCAUAUUAAGUUCAAAUUGCACGACGUUGACAGUGCCGUCAUCGCCUACACGUAUACCACAGUUGCAGAGAAAUGCAAACGUAACGGAUUGCAACAGUCAACAACAACAGCAGCAACAACAAGAACAGCAACAACAGAAACAACUACAACAGACUUUAUUACUACAGUAUGUCAAUAGAGAUAAGUCAAAUCCUGGUAACUUAACAAAGGCACUGACACCAAUCCCACAGUCCAAUGCAAUGUCAACUGUCUCAGGCGAACUUUGUAAUAACAGUCAUCUGGGCAACGAUACAACAACAACAACAACAACAGCAGCAGCAGCCAACAAAAAUUCACAUAAAAAUGCAUCUCUUGCAACAUCAUUAUGUUCAACAAUUUCAUCACAUUCUAACACAACAGCCGACCCAGCAUCAACAGUGUCAAUAUUACCAUCAACACUAACGUCAUCCUCAUCCUCAACAUCAUCAUUGUCAUCGUCAUCGACGUCCUCUACGUCGACGGGUACUGUACGUACAGAAUUGCAACAACAAAAGUAAUCAACAUAGUUUUCAGUUUUUUUUUAAUAAAUUCUUUUGUACAUAUAUACAUCAAUAGGAGAAGACAAAGUGAGAAAGAAAAUUACCAACUAAAGUACAGUGUUUCAGGAGAUCAAGAAUUUUCUUACAAAUGAUAUUUUUUUCCAUUAAUGAAUCUGAACCCGAAACACUAUACUUUACAUAGAUUUACAUAGAUGUAAAUAAUCAAUAUUUAUUGAUGGUUUUGUAAUGACAACUUCCUCCUUGUAAAGUGAUGCAUUACAAAGGAUUUAAAGUCAAACACACCCGAACACAAACACACACACGCCCUAUACAAAGAAACAAGCAUCAAUCUAAUGCUGAAAAAAAUGUAGUGUAAAAAAUUAAAUAAAAAAUUAAUUACAAGUUCAUUUAUCCAAAGAACAGCAUGUAGCACUUAGCCAUUAUAAAAGCUAUUUAAAAAUCUUAUAUACAAAUAUAUGUGAUAUGUGUCUAUCAGAUAUAUAUUAAUAAAGA